AGAACAUUCCUCCUCACCGUCACCGAACCACGUCUCGCGUUCGCUUUUCACCGAAACUACAUCUUCUUCGAUGCCUAGAGCGUUACCUCAAACCCCAAACCUCAAACCUCAUCUUCUUCUAGGUUUUCCUUAUCUCUUACCUUUUGACCGAUUGUUUUGCCUUUUUCUUCAUUUUUCACCGGUUGAGAUUGGUUGCUAUCUAUUUACACCGACUAAAUUUUCGUUCCAACCUUUUCCACCGAUUAAAUCCCUCCUACCUCGCUGCUCCGAACAAACCUUCGAAUCUAGGGUUUGCUUUUGAUUUCACCGUCUUUCGCUGUGUCCUUGUUCGCCGACUCGAUUUUACACCGGAAUCAUGGAUUCACGCCGAUCCGCCUCGACUAGGAGUCAUCACUCGUUCAUCAUUCUUUGGUGUGGUAUUCUGUGUAGUCUCAUUCAUCAUUCUCUGGUGUGGUGUGGUGAGAGAGAGUCUAUGUGUUGGUGUGCUGGUAAUAAUGGCCGAAGAGGAGCUUGGUAUACUCUGCUUGUUGUGUGAUUUGUACUUUUAUUAUUAUUUAUUUUCAUUUGUCAAAUGUAUGCGCUAUUGUUUUGCAGUGAUGGGAAGCUUGAGGUCGUGAUUCCCUCUUUUGUUCACUACCUCGUGGUUCUAGAAGGUGCUGAUGGGGACAAAAUGCCAGGCUAAGUUGUCUGCUGGUGGGGAUGAUGCUUGGAAAGAACGGGAAGAUGCUGUCCUGGCCCUUGGUGCCAUAGGUGAAGGUUGAAUCAAUGGUCUUUAUCCUCAUCUGUUGGAGAGAAGAAAGCUGCAAGCCAAGCAACACAGAACAAAUGCAUGUGUAUUAUCUUAUAGCAUCCAGAUUGAAUAACAGAUGUCAUUUAUCUUAGAAGGUUAGGGACACUUCAUUUUUACGUAACCUGCGGCGUUGAAGAUUUCAACAUACACACAUUAUUUGGUUGCAUGUCUCAUUCAUACUACAGGCAAAGAGUACUGGACUGUUUACCUAAAAAAAUCACUUUACUUGGUGAAGAUUGUGAAACUAGUAGUUCCCUGAUUCCUGUGAAGAAAAGGGGGUUCAUCAUCACCCGUCAGUGGAUCAGGUACUGCAAAUUGGUUUGCUGCCUCCCACACCAUUGGAUCAAAGAUAUAUAGAGCCAAUAGAGCAAGUUUAGCAACAGUUCGUUUAGAUGAAAAUGAUGUGAAAGAACUGGAAAUGUUACUAGAGGUUAUGUUACUUGCUUCAGUUUCAGUUUGGUGGAAAUAUAUCUGCAAGUCAAAAAGAUGUCAUGUUGGAAAUGCAUAUGCAGUUUAAAUUGUAAACUAAGAUUCUCAGAUAAGAAGGUUGAAGACUUGGAAUAAGACCCAUUAGUCUGCAUCUUUGAUAUCUGGGGAAUUUAGAGAGGAGGGGAGAUGAUUUGUAGUGAACAUUAUUUUUUAAUCUAUGGGGCCCACUUGACUUGUUUGAAGAGGUUUGCUUAUAUUUAUGUACAAAUAAU